rnacentral:rRNA from 1 species
GGUAAUAAGAGUGGAUGGCGGAUGCCUUGACACUAAACGGCGACGAAGGACGUAGCGUAGUUGCGAUAAGCCUCGGGGAGGUGCGUAGCAACCCGUGAUCCGGGGAUUUCCGAAUGGGGAAACCCUGCGACGGCGAAACCUCGCAAGCGCCGUUCCGCCGCGAAAUUAAAAAUAAAAAAUAAAAAACCAAAAAUAAAAACGUAAAAAUAUAAAAAUGUUUUUAAGUUUUAGAAAUUUUUUAAAUUUUUAAUUUGUGUUUUUUAUUUUUAAUAUUUGAUUUUUGAUUUCGCCGCGGAGCGGCGUGGCGUACCCGCUGAAGUGAAACAUCUCAGUAAGCGGAGGAAAAUAAAAAAAUGCGGGCUUUGUCUAAAUUUUCAAGCUGUAAGGCGUAGAAAAUUUAGAGACAAAGGCCAACACCCCGCCCUCUAAGCCCGUGGAAUUAAGCAAAGAUAAAUUAGAAUUAUCUUUAUUUAGUAAAUUUGAGAUUAAGCUUGGUUCAACGUGCAUAGAGGGCGGGGUCAAGGUCUCGUUGCUAAAAAUUCUUCGCUUUCAGCUCGAAUUUUUAGACGAAGCCCUUGAUUCCCCUAGUAGCGGCGAGCGAAAAGGGAGAAGCCCAAACCCAGUAUAUAAAUUUUAAAAUUUAUGUGCUGGGGGUAAUAAGGUAAAAACAUACUUAGGCGAUUUCCAAUUUCUAACUUCUAAAUAAAAAGUUAGGAGUUGGCAGUUACCCGAGAGAAGAGUUAUAAAAUGACCCUCAGCCCGCAAGGGCCGGAUCUCUUGAUUAUUAAAAGUGAUUGGGGGAUUUCCUAGCUGAAGUCUCUGGAAAGAGACACCAAAGAUGGUGAUAGUCCAGUAAGCGAAAGGAAGUCAUCUCUUCGUUUUUAUCCUUGAGUAUCCCGACGAAAGAAAACUUCGGGAAAAUUAGCCAGAGCUAUCUGGCAAGGCUAAAUACGUUUGGUGAUCGAUAGUGAACAAGUACCGUGAGGGAAAGGUGAAAAGCAGGCCGGUUAGGCCGGUGAAAUAGAACCUGAAACCAUCCACUUACAAGGAAGCGAA